rnacentral:pre_miRNA from 1 species
CCUGCCUUUGGUGAGGACUCGGGAGGUGGAGGGUGGCCUCUUGAGGGCCGGGCGUUGUCUCAGUUCGCUUCUUCCCCCCACCUCCUCUCUCCUCAGGUGCGGCUGCAG